rnacentral:rRNA from 1 species
AGUGAACGCUGGCGGUAGGCCUAACACAUGCAAGUCGAACGGCAGCACAGUAAGAGCUUGCUCUUACGGGUGGCGAGUGGCGGACGGGUGAGGAAUACAUCGGAAUCUACUUUUUCGUGGGGGAUAACGUAGGGAAACUUACGCUAAUACCGCAUACUACCUACGGGUGAAAGCAGGGGAUCUUCGGACCUUGCGCGAUUGAAUGAGCCGAUGUCGGAUUAGCUAGUUGGCGGGGUAAAGGCCCACCAAGGCGACGAUCCGUAGCUGGUCUGAGAGGAUGAUCAGCCACACUGGAACUGAGACACGGUCCAGACUCCUACGGGAGGCAGCAGUGGGGAAUAUUGGACAAUGGGCGCAAGCCUGAUCCAGCCAUGCCGCGUGGGUGAAGAAGGCCUUCGGGUUGUAAAGCCCUUUUGUUGGGAAAGAAAAGCAGCAGGUUAAUACCCCGCUGUUCUGGCGGUACCCAAAGAAUAAGCACCGGCUAACUUCGUG